UCUGCCAGCAAUUUUGCCCAUCGGAUUAUUUUUGUAGUAAAACCUCCCUCUCUAGUAAAACCAUUUUUAUUGUAAAAUAUCGAUUUACUCAUAUCGCGGUUGCUUAAACAGAUAUGAGAAAGAACACCAGAACGCAGUAGGAUCCUGCUGCUCUGUGCAUUCUGCCAGCGCCUCACUUUGGCGCCUUUGUGCGUCUGUCUGGAACGGCCACCUCGAAGGUACCGCUUCGUCUCGUGGACGGCCUAUAUGUGCUUUGGGAAUAUUUCAGCCACCACUUGGCCUAACGUAUAGGCUACCGCAGUGGAUAACGUUAACGUUAGUGAAGGUUGCUUUUUUAUUGAAGCCAAAACAACUGUCCAGCCAUCCUUCCACAGACUACAUGUUAGAGAUCACAGGAUAUGAUGACGUUGGAGACAGUGAUGAGGGACCCAUAUCAGAGGGGCUGGAUGAUUAUGAUGACAUCGCCACGGAUGACAAUGAUGCUAAAAUGACUAAGGAUGAGUUGGAGGAGACAAGCAUGCCAAUGAAUAAGAACAGGAGUAUGAUGACAUCACUAAUGAAGAUGACCUUCAAUUGACAUCAGGUAUUGCAUAGAUGAUGACAGCAGAACAAGGUCAAGAGUUUAUGGUGUCAUCACUGGUGAGCAGUCCAUUGUCCAGUUAAAUGCAUUUUUGUUGUUGUUGUUGUUGUUGGUUUUACUUUAAUACAAAAUUUAACAUUUUAAGAUCUCAACUGCUUCAGGUGUGUCUGAUUACCAGCAAGU